GAUCAUCUUCAGGGCCUUGUGUUGUCUGCAUUUCAGCAAAAAAGUUCUCUGAUCGAUGGCCGAUGCGAGUUUCUUCCAUCAAUCAGAGAACUUUUUUGCUGAAAUGCAGACAACACAAGGCCCUGAAGAUGAUCU
rnacentral:misc_RNA from 13 species